GAGCACACAAGGCGUCGUGGCCCGGAGUGCUAAAAUAAUCUGCGCCUCCCUAAUGAGGAGAGCUGAGCGGCAAUUAACACGUGUCACAGUCGACAUCAUCAGCGGCAGUCGGAGCAGACAGGCCCGGGCAGCGGCGGCAGCAGCGGCAGCAGCAGCGUUGGCAUCUUCUCUGCAACUCUGUGACGCGCAGGACGGAGGAAAGGGGACAGAGGAGAAGAGAAGAAAAAGGGAGUAGGAGGGUUGUUUUGUUGCCAUUCUUCUGACCUGAGCCGCUCAUCUUCCUCAGAGCUCAGC